rnacentral:rRNA from 1 species
UACCCGCUCCCCGAGUGGUGAGGGCGAUUAUUGGGCUUAAAGCGUCCGUAGCCGGCUCUACGAGUCUUCCGUAAAAUCCAAAGGCCUAACCUUUGGACUGCGGAAGAUACUGUAGGGCUUGGAGGCGGGAGAGGUCGCGGGUACUUCCUGGGUAGGGGCGAAAUCCUCUGAUCCAGGAAGGACCACCAGUGGCGAAGGCGCGCGGCCAGAACGCGCUCGACGGUGAGGGACGAAAGCUGGGGGAGCGAACCGG